rnacentral:rRNA from 1 species
GUUGACCUCGGAUCAGGUAGGAAUACCCGCUGAACUUAAGCAUAUCAAUAAGCGGAGGAAAAGAAACCAACAGGGAUUGCCCCAGUAACGGCGAGUGAAGCGGCAACAGCUCAAAUUUGAAAUCUGGCCUCGGCCCGAGUUGUAAUUUGCAGAGGAUGUUUCUGGCGCGGUGCCUUCUGAGUUCCCUGGAACGGGACGCCAUAGAGGGUGAGAGCCCCGUACGGUUGGACGCCUAGCCUGUGUGAAACUCCUUCGACGAGUCGAGUAGUUUGGGAAUGCUGCUCAAAAUGGGAGGUAUAUCUCUUCUAAAGCUAAAUACCGGCCAGAGACCGAUAGCGCACAAGUAGAGUGAUCGAAAGAUGAAAAGCACCUUGAAAAGGGGGUUAAACAGCACGUGAAAUUGUUGAAAGGGAAGCGCCCAUGACCAGACUUGUGCCCGGCGGAUCACCCAGCGUUCUCGCUGGGGCACUCCGCCGGGUCCAGGCCAGCAUCGGUUUUCGCCGGGGGAUAAAGGCUCUGGGAACGUAGCUCCUCCGGGAGUGUUAUAGCCCUCUGCGUAAUACCCUGGCGGCGACCGAGGUACGCGCUCCGCAAGGAUGCUGGCGUAAUGGUCAUCAGCGACCCGUCUUGAAACACGGA